rnacentral:rRNA from 1 species
AUUGAACGCUGGCGGCAGGCCUAACACAUGCAAGUCGAGCGGCAGCGGAAAGUAGCUUGCUACUUUGCCGGCGAGCGGCGGACGGGUGAGUAAUGUCUGGGAAACUGCCUGAUGGAGGGGGAUAACUACUGGAAACGGUAGCUAAUACCGCAUGACCUCGAAAGAGCAAAGUGGGGGAUCUUCGGACCUCACGCCAUCGGAUGUGCCCAGAUGGGAUUAGCUAGUAGGUGAGGUAAUGGCUCACCUAGGCGACGAUCCCUAGCUGGUCUGAGAGGAUGACCAGCCACACUGGAACUGAGACACGGUCCAGACUCCUACGGGAGGCAGCAGUGGGGAAUAUUGCACAAUGGGCGCAAGCCUGAUGCAGCCAUGCCGCGUGUGUGAAGAAGGCCUUAGGGUUGUAAAGCACUUUCAGCGAGGAGGAAGGCAUCACACUUAAUACGUGUGGUGAUUGACGUUACUCGCAGAAGAAGCACCGGCUAACUCCGUGCCAGCAGCCGCGGUAAUACGGAGGGUGCAAAGCGUUAAUCGGAAUUACUGGGCGUAAAGCGCACGCAGGCGGUUUGUUAAGUCAGAUGUGAAAUCCCCGCGCUUAACGUGGGAACUGCAUUUGAAACUGGCAAGCUAGAGUCUUGUUGAGGGGCGUAGUAAUUUCAGGUGUUGAGGUGAAAU